UACGUAGGGUGCGAGCGUUGUCCGGAAUGAUUGGGCGUAAAGGGCUCGUAGGCGGUUUGUCGCGUCGGGAGUGAAAACACCGGGCUUAACUCGGUGCUUGCUUUCGAUACGGGCAGACUAGAGGUAUGCAGGGGAGAACGGAAUUCCUGGUGUAGCGGUGAAAUGCGCAGAUAUCAGGAGGAACACCGGUGGCGAAGGCGGUUCUCUGGGCAUUACCUGACGCUGAGGAGCGAAAGUGUGGGGAGCGAACAGG
rnacentral:rRNA from 1 species